rnacentral:lncRNA from 10 species
UCGGUCCACUCCCCUUCAAAAUGAGAAUCUAGAUACUACCUCCUGGGGCCCCAGCGGGAAGAGAUGAGGGAGGAGCGGGCUGCCUCGCCCCUUUCUCCCGCCUGGGAGGAGCCAGCUGGCGUCUCCGGGGGCCCGGGACCGCUGCCCGCCUGCACCACCAGGGGUCAGCAGAGUGUCGUGGCUGCAGCCAGUGCAGGGGAGGGGGCUGGCGCGGUUGAGGGGCAUCUAGGAGUGGCCGGGAGCAUGCCUGUGCAUUUCCUUAUUAAAUUGUUUUUCGA